rnacentral:lncRNA from 1 species
CAGCUUGUACGCAUUAGCAGCCAUCUCUUCCUUGGAUGCCUCCAUGGCUUCCACAUGGGUAUCAAACUUGACCAGCAGUUUGUCACGAUCCUGGGCCAAAGCAGCAUGCUUACGUUCGAGGCAGAAGUAGGCUUCCUUGCGUUCGAGCAGGGCAGCCAUAAGAGACUUGAGUUCACCAUCCUUUUGGCCAACAGAACUCUUGAGCACGGAC